GUCCACGCCCUAAACGAUGUCGACUGGUUGUUUGGGGUUUGACACUCUCAGUAACGAAGCUAACGCGUGAAGUCGACCGCCUGGGGAGUACGGCCGCAAGGUUAAAACUCAAAGGAAUUGACGGGGACCCGCACAAGCGGUGGAUUAUGUGGAUUAAUUCGAUGCAACGCGAAAACCUUACCUACCCUUGACAUGUCCUGGAGCCUGGAGAGAUCCGGGUGUGCCCGAAAGGGAACGGGAACACAGGUGCUGCAUGGCUGUCGU
rnacentral:rRNA from 1 species